GGGUUGUGAGGUUAAGCGACUAAGCGUACACGGUGGAUGCCCUGGCAGUCAGAGGCGAUGAAGGACGUGCUAAUCUGCGAUAAGCGCCGGUAAGGUGAUAUGAACCGUUAUAACCGGCGAUUUCCGAAUGGGGAAACCCAGUGUGACUCGUCACACUAUCAUUAACUGAAUCCAUAGGUUAAUGAGGCGAACCGGGGGAACUGAAACAUCUAAGUACCCCGAGGAAAAGAAAUCAACCGAGAUUCCCCCAGUAGCGGCGAGCGAACGGGGAGGAGCCCAGAGCCUGAAUCAGCAUGUGUGUUAGUGGAAGCGUCUGGAAAGGCGCGCGAUACAGGGUGACAGCCCCGUACACAAAAGCGCAUAUGCUGUGAGCUCGAUGAGUAGGGCGGGACACGUGGUAUCCUGUCUGAAUAUGGGGGGACCAUCCUCCAAGGCUAAAUACUCCUGACUGACCGAUAGUGAACCAGUACCGUGAGGGAAAGGCGAAAAGAACCCCGGCGAGGGGAGUGAAAAAGAACCUGAAACCGUGUACGUACAAGCAGUGGGAGCCCCACCACUAAGCCAGUGGUGAACUCCACAUACGCAUCCUUUGCUGAGGAUACGGUUAACGGAGCGAAAGCGACGUUCAACCGCAAAAGAAGCAGAGGGGGCUUAGUGGUGGGGUGACUGCGUACCUUUUGUAUAAUGGGUCAGCGACUUAUAUUCUGUAGCAAGGUUAACCGAAUAGGGGAGCCGGAGGGAAACCGAGUCUUAAUUGGGCGUUAAGUUGCAGGGUAUAGACCCGAAACCCGGUGAUCUAGCCAUGGGCAGGUUGAAGGUUGGGUAACACUAACUGGAGGACCGAACCGACUAAUGUUGAAAAAUUAGCGGAUGACCUGUGGCUGGGGGUGAAAGGCCAAUCAAACCGGGAGAUAGCUGGUUCUCCCCGAAAGCUAUUUAGGUAGCGCCUCGUGAAUUCAUCUCCGGGGGUAGAGCACUGUUUCGGCUAGGGGGCCAUCCCGGCUUACCAACCCGAUGCAAACUGCGAAUACCGGAGAAUGUUAUCACGGGAGACACACGGCGGGUGCUAACGUCCGUCGUGAA
rnacentral:rRNA from 1 species